AUUCAUUAAGAUGCCUGAUGCAUAAGUGACUUGUCAAACGGUAUGUGGGUGGCUGUAAUGGCAGCAUGUAGGUUUGUAUGGAAAACAAGUAUGGCACUGUGAAGAUUUUUUUUCUCUUUCAUCGUAUAGGUACUCACAUGUAACACUUGUGAGGGGUCUGCUAAGAACCUUGCUGUCAAACCUACUAAUUCAUCAGAAACAUAAUGAAGACCAAAAUUAUCAAACUGGAAUCCUUCCUCCACUUUCUUACUCAUUACUUGAGAUACUUGCUCAUCUCUCAGCUCAUCAUGAAUACUGGGAAAGGACUGCAGGUGGAAGGAAGUACGCUCUAAUCUCACUUCUUCCCACACCUUUGUUUUAGGCAUUCCCACUGCUUUGUUUUAGGUGAAGAAAUAAUUUCCUUGAAGUGAGAUUUGGGGAAGUCAUCAUCAGAAGGAAAAUGAAUAAAUGUAAAAUAAUUUUCUCUUAGUUCCAGUAAGCAGCUGCCAGUAUUACUAUUACCAGAUCCAAAAUGCAACCAGCCAAUACUACUGUUACCAGACAAAUUGGUAAAUUUCUUGAUUCUUGUUCUUUGAAGAUAUUAAGAAUCAUAGGCUAUACAUUGCUAAAGAUACGUAUUACUGAUAUGUUAAGCGUUACCUAUCUGUACAUUCAUACCUGUAAAAGUCAUUAUCUUGCCUAUGUAAUAUGGAAAAUACUUUUCCACUUGUUCCAAUUACAUAAUCAACACAAAAGAUCAGCACAGAAUAAUACAGAGCAAGGGGGGAUACUCUAGGCUUUCUGUCUUAUUUCACACUUCAUAUUCAUGAAACUUAGUAAAUGCAUAAUAUUGUGCAGUAGAGGAAUUGGCGAUAUUCCUCAGCAUUAUAUUACUACAAAACACAAGUCCAUUACAGUCAUUGGAUAUGGUCUCGUAGAAAUUUCUCAGCUACUUACUAUUUUAUACUUCAAAGUACUAAAUACUUUCAUAGGAAUUUAUUGAAACAAUGUCCUGCAUCAAAGUAAGUUUGAUUUUCCUAAAACCUCUCUCUAAUCACUAGAUUUCUGAUAGCAUCCAAAUACAUACUGUAAUCAUGGUAAAGGCAUUAAAAACUGGAUUUACAGUGGCAUUUUGCACCUGUAUCUCUUUGUGAAGGCAGAGAGCCUCAGAUAUUCAACACCUCGAUGGCAUAUUGUGAUUUAGAUGAUACAAAAUGCAACACAUGCCAAUAAACACAAGGCUGAUUUAAUUUUGUCUCUGUUCACUUUAUUGAUUUAUUUGGAAUGCUGCUGAGUUUACAGAGAUGCAUACUAAUUCCUUCCAGAAUCUGGAUCCACUGCUCGCACUGAGCAUCAUUUUACUCUUAGGGUAGUCAGUGUGAAGUAGGGCAGCACAAUAUGACUCUUGUAGCAGACAGCUGUAUAAUGUAUUUCAUACUAAUCUUACUAUAUUGUUCCUUUAUAUAU